rnacentral:rRNA from 1 species
CCCUUAGAUGUUCUGGGCCGCACGCGCGCUACACUGACGAUGGCAACGAGUUUUUCCUUCGCCGAAAGGUGUGGGUAAUCUUUUUAAACAUCGUCGUGCUGGGGAUAGAUCAUUGCAAUUUUUGAUCUUGAACGAGGAAUUCCUAGUAAGCGCGAGUCAUCAGCUCGCGUUGAUUACGUCCCUGCCCUUUGUACACACCGCCCGUCGCUACUACCGAUUGAAUGGUUUAGUGAGGACUCCUGAUUGGCGCCGCCGCCCCGGCAACGGAGCAGCGGACUGCCGAAAAGUUGUUCAAACUUGAUCAUUUAGAGGAAGUAAAAGUCGUAACA